rnacentral:lncRNA from 14 species
UGGGGGUCUCUGGGGGUCUCUGGUGUAUUUGGGGGUCUCUGGGGGGUCUCUGGUGUAUUUGGGGAGGGGUCUCCAUGUCACCUCCCUCCCCCCCCCCACAGCGCUGACCUCCAAGCCGGACGAGCUCCCCCCAGCCCCCCCCCCAAAUUACCCCCCGCCCCCUCCCCACGCCCCCCGCCCCUCCCCCCCCCCUCCGGGGGCUACGGAGCCCCUCCCCCAAAUUACAGCGCCCCCCCACCCAAAUUACAGCGCCCCCCACCCAAACUACCACACCCCUCCCCCUAAUUACAACGCCCCUCCCCCUAAUUACAGCCCCCCCUCAUUACAGCGGCCCCCCUCAUUACAACGCCCCUCCCCCUCCUAAUUACAACACCCCUCCCCCUCAUUACAACGCCCCUCCCCCAAAUUUUAAUGCCCCUCCCCCUCAUUACAACGCCCCUCCCCCAAAUUUUAACGCUCCUCCCCCUCAUUACAGCGCCCCUCCCCCCUCUCAAUACAACCCCCCCCCCCCUCAUUACAGCCCCCCCCCCUCAUUACGGCGCCCCCCCCAAUUACCCCGCGCCCCCGCCUUUACCGCCCCCUCCCCUUAUUCCGGCCCCCCCCGCGGGGGGGGCGGGGGCGCUUUUGGGGGGGGUCCCGACCCCGACCCCUCCCCCCCCAACCGGAAGCGUCCAUUCGAGGAGCGGGGGAGGGGCUGCCAGGAGCACCACCGGGAGAAAAGGCCCCGCUCCCCGCAGCCGCCGGCCGAGGAGGAGGACGCGACGACGACUUCGACGAUUCCCUGGUGGCUGUGGACACCUACAACUGCGACCUGCACUUCAAGGUGGCACGGGACAGGUACAGCGGGUACCCGCUGACCAUGGAGGGAUUCGCCUACCUGUGGUCAGGGGCCAGGGCCACCCACGGCGCGAGGCAGGGCCGGGUCUGCUACGAGAUGGAGGUGCUGGAGGAGAUCUCGGUGCAGCACCUGCCGCCCUCAGAGCCCGACCCGCACGUGGUGAGAGUGGGAUGGUCCCUGGACUCCUGCAGCACCCAGCUGGGGGAGGAGCCCUUCUCCUUCGGCUAGGGCGGCACCGGCCGCAAAUCCAGCGACGGAAAGUUCCAGAGCUACGGAGCCGCCUUCGGCCAGGGCGACGUCAUCGCCUGCCUGGCGGUGAGGCACGGGCGGGGCACCUGGGCACACCUGGGCACACCUGGGGGCACCUGGGAUAUACCUGGACACACCUGAGAUACACCUGGGCACACCUGGGGGCACCUGGGAUACACCUGGGCACACCUGGGGGCACCUGAGAUACACCUGGGCACACCUGGGCACACCUGGGGGCACCUGGGAUAUACCUGAGAUACACCUGAGAUACACCUGGGAUACACCUGGGAUACACCUGGGAUACACCUGGGAUACACCUGGGCACACCUGAGAUACACCUGGGAUACACCUGGGAUACACCUGGGGGCACCUGGGGGCACCUGGGAUAUACCUGAGAUACACCUGGGCACACCUGGGGGCACCUGGGGGCACCUGGGAUACACCUGAGACACACCUGAGAUACACCUGGGAUACACCUGGGAUACACCUGGGAUACACCUGGGGGCACCUGGGAUACACCUGGGAUACACCUGGGGGCACCUGGGCACACCUGGGAUACACCUGGGAUACACCUGGGAUACACCUGGGGGCACCUGGGAUACACCUGGGAUACACCUGGGGGCACCUGGGCACACCUGGGAUACACCUGGGCACACCUGGGGGCACCUGGGCACACCUGGGAUACACCUGGGGGCACCUAAAACACACCUGGGGGCACCAAUGGGGCACCUAAAACACACCUGGGCACACCUGGGGGCGUCACAGACACACCUGGGCACACCUGGGGGCACUGGAAAUACACCUG